rnacentral:rRNA from 1 species
GAGACUCUGUGCGCGUGCAUAUCAAUAAGCGGAGGAAAAGAAACUAACAAGGAUUCCCUUAGUAACGGCGAGUGAAGCGGGAAGAGCUCAAAUUUGAAAUCUUCAAGGUUCUACCUUGACGAAUUGUAGUUUAAAGAAGUGUUUUCUGUUAGAUGAGUAGCAAAAGUUCCUUGGAAUGGGACAUCAUAGAGGGUGAGAAUCCCGUAUUUGGUUAUUCAUUCUAGCUUUGUGAUACACUUUCAAAGAGUCGGAUUGUUUGGGAAUGCAGUCCAAAAUGGGUGGUAAAUUUCAUCUAAAGCUAAAUAUUGGCGAGAGACCGAUAGCGAACAAGUACCGUGAGGGAAAGAUGAAAAGAACCUUGAAAAGAGAGUUAAACAGUACGUGAAAUUGUCAAAAGGGAAGCGUUUGACACCAGUGUUGUUUUUCCGAAAAUCAAUUACGAAUGGCUUGAUUAUGUGUUGUAUUGACCUUAUCAGCUUUCUGCACUUUUUUCGAGUCUUUCUUAAUGCACUUUUCGGUUAACAAGUCAACAUCAAUUUCUUUUGUUGUAAAAGAGUAUUCGGAAGGUGGCUUUCUUUUCGGAGAAAGUGUUUAUAGCCCUAUACUUCUACAAUCGGAGAGAUUGAGGUCUGCAGCGUAGAUCCUUCGGGGUUAGAUACACUUGUGCUAAGUUGUAGCUUUUCAUAGACAACUUGUUGACUAUGUUUAGUCAUGCGGCUUACUCGCUUGUGCUAUUUUACCUACGCUUAGGAUGUUGACUGAUAUGUAGUCGUA